GGGUGGAUCCUUCUCCUGGGAUCUCCCUAAGGAAGGGGUGGAUCCUUCUCCCAAGAUCUCCCUGGCCCUGGGAAGGGGUGGAUCCUUCUCCUAGGAUCUUCCUGGUAAUAGGAAGGGGUGGAUCCUUCUCCUGGGAUCUCCCUGGCCCUGGGAAGGGGUGGAUCCUUCUCCCAAGAUCUCCUUGGCCAUGGGAAGGGGUGGAUCCUUCUCCUGGGAUCUCCCUAAGGAAGGGGUGGAUCUUUCUCCCAAGAUCUCCCUGGCCCUGGGAAGGGGUGGAUCCUUGUCCUGGGAUCCCCCUGGCAAUAGGAAGGGGGGUGGAUCCUUCUCCCGGGAUCCCAUCCCAGGGAAGGGCUGGCUGUUUGGGAUGGACAGUUGUGGUUCUGCUCCCGGAGCUCCUCUCCAGCCCGGGAUGAGCAGGGAUGGGCUCCCUGUGUCUCCUCCAAGGAUUUCCCGGCUCCCCUUCCUCCGGAGCGUGGCAGUGCCAUGGCCACGGGCACGGGGGGGCUUUGGGGACACCGUGGGGACCCCGAGGACCGUCCCCUGCCCACAGGUCACCCCCGUGACCCCCCCAAAAACCUGUGGACCCCGAUUUGCACUAUGGACCUUGACGUGUGCUAAUGUGAACCUGACCUUCUCCUGCCUCUUCCCACGCGGGAAUUCCGGGAUCUGACACCUCCGCCGAGGUGCCCUGAGCCCUUCCCAGCACCCGGGAGGGACCUGGAGGGAUGGGGACCCCUGGAAUUCCAGCCCACCCAGUCACCCCCCAGCACCCCGGAGGACCUGGACAGACAGGGAACCCCGGAAUUCCAGUUGUCUCCCAGUCACCCUGGAGGACCUGGGGGGACAGAGACCCCCCUGGAAUUCCAGUUGUCUCCCAGUCACCCCCCCAGCACCUCAGAGGACCUGGAGAGAUGGGGACUCCCAGAAUUCCAGCCCAGUUGUCUCCCAGUCACCCCCCAGCACCCCAAAGGACCUGGAGGGAUGAGGACCCCCAGAAUUCCAGCCCAGUCACCCCCCAGCACCCCAGAGGGACCUGGAGGGACAGAGAUUCCCCCGGAAUUCCAGUUGUCUCCCAGUCACCCCCCUCUGCGCUCCCAAAAAAAUCCUGCUGGGCUCUGCUGGGGGGGCUCAGCUCCUCCAGGGAUUCCCCAAAUUCCAAAAAUCCAGCCCCUGGCUCUGUCCAGGAGCUCACGGGGACAGGGGGAGACCCCCCAAAAAUGAGGAUUCCAUCCCCACUUGCCUCAUUCCCACCUCUCCCACAGCUCCAGGGGGGGCUUUCCCUGUGUGUCUCCCCCCCCGUUGUGUCCCGAGGGUUUAUCCCACCGGGAAAGGUCCCUGCUGGGUUUUUUUGGGAAAGGGGAAGGGACACAAACCUGGCUGAGCUCAGGGUGGGGGGGGGCAGGAGGAGCUCAGG